rnacentral:rRNA from 1 species
CGCGUAGGCGGCGCACCAAGUCAGGCGUGAAAGCCCUGGGCUCAACCCGGGAAUUGCGCUUGAGACUGGUGUGCUCGAGUACGGGAGAGGAUAGUGGAAUUCCCAGUGUAGAGGUGAAAUUCGUAGAUAUUGGGAAGAACACCGGUGGCGAAGGCGGCUAUCUGGACCGUAACUGACGCUGAGGCGCGAAAGCGUGGGGAGCAAACAGGAUUAGAUACCCUGGUAGUCCACGCCGUAAACGAUGAGUGCUAGACGUUGGGGCCCUUAGGGCUUCGGUGUCGCCGCUAACGCAUUAAGCACUCCGCCUGGGGAGUACGGCCGCAAGGUUAAA